UUAUCUUAGCUUUAUUGUAUGUCACAUGUUACAAAUGUGUCUUUCAUGCACAUCUUCUAUCUUUUGAACAAAAUUUUUUUGCAUUAGUAUUUUCUCUCAACACUCUUCAUCUUCGGCUUCUACAAUCACAAGGUUUCUGUGCAUAUCGUUCUGAUUUGCUCUUUUGUGUUUUGAUUAUGUUCUUUCGUGUGCUGACGCUCUUUUAACUUUGGUGUCCAUACUGCACUCUAAGGAUGACAUAUGAUUAACUAGCGCAGGAGACAGUUUGGCAUUUCCUCGUUCAAUCUCAUAUCGUACUGCAGGCGACUUGAAAAAAAAAUUAUACAUUGGUUCUUUGGAACAUUUGGGUGAUGUUAAAAGCUUGGGUCAAUAAGCUACAUAAGGGGAUAAAUUUUUCCUUUACCGUACCCUUACUUUCACUAACUUAUAAAAAGGGCAGCCUGAUGCACUAAAGCUACCGCUAUGCGCAGUGUUCGGAGAAGGACCCCACUACAAGGGUGUAUCAUACGCAGCCUUAUCUUGCAUUUCUGCCAGAGGCUGUUUCCAAAGCUUGAACCCGUGACCUCCUUGGAAACAGCCUCUAACACUAACUUAUGAUUGAUGUAAUUAGUCAAUCUUUAUGGAAUCGAAGUGUUUAUAAUUCAACUUUUCUUGUGAGUUUCAGGAUUGUGGACAUUCUUACACUACUCAACUAGUUCAACCAAGUAAACUUACUAAUUAAGAUCUGAAUAAAGACAGAAUUGAAUUAUAUGUUCAGCUGGUCUUAUCUGAUGUAUUUGACUUGUGCAUGGGAUUUUUGAAUAUAUCUAUGUAGAUGUAGCUUUAAAAGGGGAAAAAAAUGCAUGGUUUAUGGUUGUUGUAAAGUAAUUUAAUACCAAUUAGUAUUAUAAAGAAACUUAAAUAUCAAUGCUAGUCGUAGCUAUAA